rnacentral:rRNA from 1 species
GAGCACGUAGGUGGGUUUGUAAGUCAGAUGUGAAAGCCUUCAGUUCAACGGAAGAAUUGCAUCUGAAACUGCAAGUCUUGAGUGUAGGAGGGGAGAAUGGAACUUCUGGUGGAGCGGUGAAAUGCGUAGAUAUCAGAAGGAACGCCGGCGGCGAAAGCGAUUCUCUGGCCUAUUACUGACACUCAGUGUGCGAAAGCUAGGGGAGCAAACGGGAUUAGAUACCCCGGUAGUCCUAGCCGUAAACGAUGGGCACUAAGUAGAGGGAAUUACCGAUGUUCUCUCUGCCGUAGCUAACGCAUUAAGUGCCCCGCCUGGGGAGUACGGCCGCAAGGCUAAAACUCAAAAGAAUUGACGGGGGCUCGCACGAGCGGUGGAGCAUGUGGCUUAAUUCGAUGCAACGCAAAAAACCUUACCGGGGCCUGACAUGGUAGAAGUAGGAACCCGAAAGGGUAACGAACGGUAUCCAGUCCGUAGCUAUCACAGGUGUUGCAUGGCUGUCGUCAGCUCGUGUCGUGAGACGUUGGGUUAAGUCCCCUAACGAGCGAAACCCUUGUUUUUAGUUACCAGCGGGUUAUGCCGGGUACUCUAGAAAGACUGCCGUCGUCAAGACGGAGGAAGGUGGGGAUGACGUCAAGUCAUCAUGGCCCUUAUGCCCCGGGCUGCACACGUGCUACAAUGGUCGAUACAAACGGAUGCGAAGCCGAGAGGUGAAGCGAAUCC